CAGCCGCCGCGGGAAUACGUAGGUGGCAAGCGUUGUCCGGAAUUAUUGGGCGUAAAGGGAGCGCAGGCGGUUGGAAUAGUCUGAUGUGAAAGCCCACGGCUUAACCGUGGAAUUGCAUUGGAAACUGUCCAACUUGAAUGCAGAAGAGGAAAGCGGAAUUCCAUGUGUAGCGGUGAAAUGCGUAGAUAUAUGGAGGAACACCAGUGGCGAAGGCGGCUUUCUGGUCUGUGAUUGACGCUGAGGCUCGAAAGCGUGGGAGCGAACAGGAUUAGAGACCCCCGUAGUCCCUGUCUCUUAUACA
rnacentral:rRNA from 1 species